rnacentral:misc_RNA from 1 species
GAUGAAGAACGUAGCGAAAUGCGAUAAGUAGUGUGAAUUGCAGAAUUCAGUGAAUCAUCGAAUCUUUGAACGCACAUUGCGCCCGCCAGCACUCUGGCGGGCAUGCCUGUUCGAGCGUCAUUUCAACCAUCAAGCCCCAGGCUUGCGUUGGAGCCCUGCGGCUGCCGCAGCCUCCUAAAAGCAGUGGCGGGCUCGCUAUCACACCGAGUGCAGUAGAUUACUCUUCGCUCAGGGCGUGCAGCGGGUUCCGGCCGUGAAACCCCCUACUUUUAAAGGUUGACCUCGGAUCAGGUAGGAAUACCCGCUGAACUUAAGCAUAUAAUAAGCGGAGGA